rnacentral:rRNA from 1 species
GAUGAACGCUGGCGGCGUGCCUAAUACAUGCAAGUCGAGCGAACAGACGAGGAGCUUGCUCCUCUGACGUUAGCGGCGGACGGGUGAGUAACACGUGGAUAACCUACCUAUAAGACUGGGAUAACUUCGGGAAACCGGAGCUAAUACCGGAUAAUAUAUUGAACCGCAUGGUUCAAUAGUGAAAGACGGUUUUGCUGUCCCUUAUAGGUGGAUCCGCGCCGCAUUAGCUAGUUGGUAAGGUAACGGCUUACCAAGGCAACGAUGCGUAGCCGACCUGAGAGGGUGAUCGGCCACACUGGAACUGAGACACGGUCCAGACUCCUACGGGAGGCAGCAGUAGGGAAUCUUCCGCAAUGGGCGAAAGCCUGACGGAGCAACGCCGCGUGAGUGAUGAAGGUCUUCGGAUCGUAAAACUCUGUUAUUAGGGAAGAACAAAUGUGUAAGUAACUAUGCACGUCUUGACGGUACCUAAUCAGAAAGCCACGGCUAACUACGUG